rnacentral:tRNA from 1 species
AAAUUUCCAAAUUAGCAAAAAAUUGCAUUAAAUUUAGAAUUUAUUUCUCUCCUA